GACGAACGCUGGCGGCGUGCCUAAUACAUGCAAGUCGAACGCAGUGGGGACGGGUGAGUAACACGUGGGUAACCUCCCCAUCAGAGGGGAUAACACUUGGAAACAGGUGCUAAUCCGAUAUUGAUGGAUGGACCCGCGGUGCAUUAGCUAGUUGGUGAGGUAACGGCUCACCAAAGCCACGAUGCAUAGCCGACCUGAGAGGAUGAUCAGCCACACUGGGACUGAGACACGGCCCAGGCGCCUACGGGGGGCAGCAGUGGGGAAUGUUGCACAAUGGGCGCAAGCCAGAUGCAGCCAUGCCGCGUGUAUGAAGAAGGCCUUAGGGUUGUAAAGUACUUUCAGCGGGGAGGCGUUACCCGCAGAAGAAGCACCGGCUAACUCCGUGCCAGCCGCCGCGGUAAUUC
rnacentral:rRNA from 1 species